rnacentral:tRNA from 1 species
GCGCCCUAAUACAGUAAUACAGAUCCUCUCCGAAAGCAGAAAGCCACAUGUUCGAAUCGUGUUGGGCGCGCCA